UUUAGUCUAGCUUGAGAGUCUUGUCUAAUUGAAACAUGUCUAAAUGUAAUGAAUUUGCUCUGAUUUAGGUGAAAAGUGUCCAUUUUUAUGUAAAAAUCAUCCAAAUAUGAAUGUUAUUGUCAGGUGCAUUCAAAUAGGCAUAAGAUUUGUUUAUUUUUUUUUCCAAAAUGUAACCUGACAUAUGCGGACAACAUUGAAUGGCCGGCUCCCUGUCCGCGGACGGAUGAGGGAGUAAAUUUGGGAGUCAGCAUUGAAGAUGCCCUAAUGCUUUCCUAUAAUUACACAUCUCUGUAUAAUCACACGUCUCUAUGUUAAACUACGGCCCAGAACCAGCAAGGUACACCUCUCUGUAUUAGUAUUAAUAAGACUCAUCAAAUUAUAGGAGAUUUCUUUAUUUAAUACCAUAGAUUUGAUCCAGUCACAUAUAGUGGUGCAUAGUUUAGAGUAUCUCCCAAAUAUAUAUAAGCAUAGAUAUAGACAAAGUAUAGGAUAACAGUAAAUGGAUGUCAUCAUGAAGAUAGAAUGACUUGUACAAAUUUAAGACACUGAUACGGAAAUCUUUGUGAUCUUAUUUGAUUGAACAUGGAGUAAAUGUUCUCUAGCUACAAGCCUACAAAUAUAACCGGCAUCUUCCGGACCUAAAAAACAACCGAGAAGAAGUUUGUGAGUGAUAUUAUGGAGCGGAAACCAAUUCUUCUUUGUCUUAUGGUGCUUCUGCUGCUAAGAAAUUCCACUUAUGCUGAAAAUUGCAAAACGCAAAUUGCUUAUGGGGCCACUCUGUGCGCAUUUUAUACUUGCCUGAGUACAUGCAUAUCUAUAUAUGGGAAACUCGUCAAGCAAGCAGAUUGCAAGCCCGUCAGACCUUAUUAUACUAAUUGUUCUUGCCUCCUCUGCGUCUAGCAUUACUCUUUGCCAUGAUGUAAAACAAUGGGCUAUGAUGUGAGCCAGUAAUAAAAAUAUUAUCCUGAA